rnacentral:lncRNA from 1 species
GCAGAAAUGUGUUUCAUGCUUGCAAAUGGAAUGUGAGCCAGUCUUAAAUGCCAAAUGUAAUUCAUGUCAUUUGCAUCAGUUUUAUUAUUAAAAAUGGAACUAUUUACAUUGGAAUUCAAAGCAACAUAAUUAAGGUCAGAAGAACAAAUAGGAGUACAAGAAUCAGAAAUGGAGCAUACAGAAGUAGAAGAACAACAAUUAACAGAAGAAGGUGAAGAGGGCACCCAAGAAAAUUUGUACAGACCAGCCUCCUCUUUACCAAGAUCCAGAGGCAUCUUCAGAGAAGGGCCUGUAACAUGUGAAGGAAACAGGAAGUUGCAGUAAACAUGACAAUACAGUGCAACUGUUGUACUAGUUUGUGGACAGAAAUUAAAUUUGUGUUUGAAAGAGGAAACAACGUAACAUGUGAAGGAAACAGGAAGUUACAGCAAACAUGACAAUACAGUGCAACUGUUUUACUAGUUUGUGGACAAAAAUUAAAUUGUGUUUGAAAGAAGGAACAAACAGUACAUCAUGAAGAGUGAUGGAGGGGG